rnacentral:rRNA from 1 species
GACGAACGCUGGCGGCGUGCUUAACACAUGCAAGUCGAGCGGUAAGGCCCUUUCGGGGGUACACGAGCGGCGAACGGGUGAGUAACACGUGGGUGACCUGCCUCUAGCUCUGGGAUAAGCCCGGGAAACUGGGUCUAAUACUGGAUAUGACUCCAUGACGCAUGUUGUGGGGUGGAAAGCCUUGUGCGGCUAGAGAUGGGCCCGCGGCCUAUCAGCUUGUUGGNGGGUGAUGGCCUACCAAGGCGACGACGGGUAGCCGGCCUGAGAGGGCGACCGGCCACACUGGGACUGAGACACGGCCAGACUCCUACGGGAGGCAGCAGUGGGGAAUCUUGCGCAAUGGGACGAAAGCCUGACGCAGCGACGCCGCGUGAGGAUGACGCUGU